CCUACGGGAGGCAGCAGUGGGGAGUAUUGCACAAUGGGCGCAAGCCUGAUGCAGCCAUGCCGCGUGUGUGAAGAAGGCCUUCGGGUUGUAAAGCACUUUCAGCGGGGAGGAAGGCGUUAAGGUUAAUAACCUUGUCGAUUGACGUUACCCGCAGAAGAAGCACCGGCUAACUCCGUGCCAGCAGCCGCGGUAAUACGGAGGGUGCAAGCGUUAAUCGGAAUUACUGGGCGUAAAGCGCACGCAGGCGGUCUGUCAAGUCGGAUGUGAAAUCCCCGGGCUCAACCUGGGAACUGCAUUCGAAACUGGCAGGCUAGAGUCUUGUAGAGGGGGGUAGAAUUCCAGGUGUAGCGGUGAAAUGCGUAGAGAUCUGAGGAAUACCGGUGGCGAAGGCGGCCCCCUGGACAAAGACUGACGCUCAGGUGCGAAAGCGUGGGGAGCAAACAGGAUUAGAUACCCCGGUAGUC
rnacentral:rRNA from 1 species